UGGCGCUUGAGUUGGUCGGGGGCAGCGGCAGGCUGUAAAAAUUAAAAUGAACAAACUACGGCAAAGUUUUAGGAGAAAGAAGGAUGUUUAUGUUCCAGAGGCCAGUCGUCCACAUCAGUGGCAGACAGAUGAAGAAGGCGUUCGCACUGGAAAAUGUAGCUUCCCGGUUAAGUACCUUGGCCAUGUAGAAGUUGAUGAAUCAAGAGGAAUGCACAUCUGUGAAGAUGCUGUAAAAAGAUUGAAAGCUAUGUGGGCUUGCUAAUAAGGAGCAUCUCAGCCAAGCGCGGUGGCCU
rnacentral:lncRNA from 1 species